UACAGAGGGGGCAAGCGUUGUUCGGAAUUACUGGGCGUAAAGGGCGCGUAGGCGGCCUUCUAAGUCGAACGUGAAAUCCCCGGGCUCAACCCGGGAACUGCGUCCGAUACUGGAAGGCUUGAAUCCGGGAGAGGGAUGCGGAAUUCCAGGUGUAGCGGUGAAAUGCGUAGAUAUCAGGAGGAACACCGGUGGCGAAGGCGGGUCUCUGGGCCGUAACUGACGCUGAGGAGCGAAAGCGUGGGGAGCGAACAGG
rnacentral:rRNA from 1 species